rnacentral:pre_miRNA from 1 species
GAUGUCUGGAAUAAAGCUUGAUCCGGGAACAAUGGAAGCUCUUUUACUUAGUGCAUUGCUCCCGGACCAAGCUUCAUUCCCAACAUC